rnacentral:tRNA from 1 species
GUACAUAUAGUUUAAACAAAACAUUAGAUUGUGAAUCUAACGAUAGAAGCUUGAACCUUCUUAUAUACC